UUUUUUUUUUUUUUUUUUUUUUUUUUUGGUAUUUUCUAGGGUUGUACCGUGGCACAUGGAGGUUCCCAGGCUAGGGGUCCAAUAGGAGCUGUAGCCACCAUAGCCACAGCAAUGCAGGAUCCAAGGUGUGUCUCUGAUCUACACCACAGCUCACAGCAAUGGCGGAUCAUUAACCCACAGAGUAAGGCCAGGGAUUGAAUCCACAACCUCGUGGUUCCUAGUUGGAUUUGUUAACCACCGAGCCGUGACGGGAACUCCUACUGUGACAUUUUUGAUUCGCCUAUUCCAGAUGGGCUGUGCUACAUCAUGCUGCCCCUUCUUGUGAACUGGAUUUCAAGAGCAACCAGUUCUUUUACAAAGACAUCAAUAUUUAUGAUCUCACUGGUUUCACUAAUUCAACUAUCAUUUAGUGAACACCUACCUUGUGACAAGUUAUGCUAUAAGUACUGAAGAUAAAAAAUUAAAUAACACUCUGUCUUUUCCUCACACUAGAUGGUAGGUGCUCUCCUCAGAGCCUGCUGCAUCCCUCAGGGCCCCAGAGAUGCUGAUUUCUGAGUCCUCACUUCCUUAGGAGGGUAAUGCUCCCCUUGCCUUCCUUGCCUUUCAGGAUUAGAAGAUUGAGUUAUGGAGAUCUGAGUUCUGGUCUCUCUGGCAUCAGGCCAUUCUGAAAGGUCCUUUCCUUUCAGGCAGAAAACCGACAAAGUCAGGCACUUUGCUCUGAGGCUUUCAUUUGCGUUUCUAAGUUGAUUGCCUAAAACUGAGACCACUUUCCCUGUGGGGAGAGGGAUGGACUGGGCUUCUUAAAGUGUGUGUGUGUGUGUGUGUGUAGUGUGGGUGGGGUAAUAGGACCCUGUGUCCUUCUUUGAUGUUGUCCCCUUAGGGAGCCCUUAUUAGAGCCUUCUCUAGCCUUCUUCUCUCUAGUCCCUUGUAACUAGCUUCACCUCUGUCACUUUCUCCUUUCACUCCACUGGCCUCCAAGGUGUUUAGCCAGCCAAGCUUGCUCCCUCCUUAUGGCCUUUAUGUUCUGUGUCCCUUCUGUGUGGGCCACUCUCCCCUGAGUCAUGAGGUUAACCUCUGACUUCCUUCAGGUCUUUACUCACCUUCUCUGUGAGGCCUUCCAUGGCCACUCUUUCAAAACUGUCAGCCUUUCAUCCCGAUGCUCUAUACAUUUCCCUGCUCUACUAUGUCUCCUGAGCACUCACUAUUGUUUACUUAAUUUCUGCUAGAAACAGAGCGGAAUGGACAAUAAAAGACAGAUAAUCUCCAGGGGAACAUGGAUUUUUGUCUGUUUGUUUCUUUCUUUUUUUUCUUUUUACAGCUGCACCUGUGGCACAUGGAAGAUCCAGGGCUAGGGCCUGAAUCAAAGCUGCAGCUGAGCCCUAUGCCACAGCCAUGGCAACAUCUAAAACCUGUGCUGCAGCUUAUGGCAGUGCUGGAUCUUUAACACAGUGAGUGAGGCUAGGGUUCAAACCUGCAUCCUUACAGAGACUGUGCUGGGUCCUUAACUCCCUGAGCCACAAUAGGAACUCCUGUCUGUUUUUUUCAUACUCUGUCUUAUAGAAUAGUUCUUUGUACAUGGUACAUUCUUUAGUAAGUAUUUGUUAAGUGAAUGAAUAAUGACAAAAUUCCCUAAGUCUCAGCUAGACAAAUAGGAAGUAUAAUCUCCUUCAUUUAAAUUGAUCAUAUGAUUUGGACAAUUGGAAUUUCAGUAGAAAUUCUUGACUUUAGAAUUGAAGACUCCCCUAAGCUUGUUGGCUAGUAUAGGGAAUCUUAGUAACAAAGGGCAUAAAGUCACAUAGUUUAUGAUAGUUUUAAUCAUAGUUUAUGAUUUUUUGAAGAUGAAGGAGAUGUGGCAUUUCUUGCAUCACAAUGUUUUGAGCAAAGUGUAGCCAGUUCACCUUGAGUGUGCACAAAAGCCAGCCUUGCCGCCUCCUGCUAGCUUUUGUCGGUGCAAGUAUGCCUGGCAGUUUGACUUGAGAAUGGCAUUAAGGACUUGCCAUGGUGCUGACAUGAGAAGUGAGAAAUGGCAAGUGCAUGGAACUAGCACAGGGAGCAAAGGGUCAGUGUUUCAAUACCAGCCAUGGCUUAGUUGAUAAGAUACUGCAAAUGAGUACUUCAUGUGUGUGUGUGAGUCUCUGUGUGUCACAUAAGAAGCAUAUAUUGUGUUAUGUGCACAAUGGCCAGUGAAUUUGAUGCCUCUUUUAUGGAUGCUAUUGGAUGUGUCAGCACUUCUUCCAUUCCCUUCUGUCUUGAGGUGUGUGGAAAUUUCUCCUGUGCCAUCCUUUACUUUGAUAAAGGAAUUGAAAAUAAGGUCUCCUCUCUUUGCUUUUGACUUCUCCAUUCAUAUAAUUGGUUUUCCUCCUUUGCUCAGUGCUCCCUAUGGUCACAUCAUAUUACAAAUUAUUAUAUAAUAAAAGUUGUUGCCUUGUAUUUUCUUUCCUACCUGUUUCCUACAGAACUUGGGAGAAAUAAAAGGAAUUGACCCAGGUUAAGAUGACAAAAAUAAUUAUCCCUCGUUUAAAAGAAGAAAAGUUUACAUUAAUAGACUAAUUCAAAUUUAUUUAAUUUUGCACAGAAUUAAAAAAAGCAUCUCACUGAAAAGUAACAUGAAAAAGAAUAUUAAAAUUCUUGAUAAGUUAAGGGGUUAGAAACUACCAUUUAUUGACUAUGAAUAGGGUACCAUCUAGAAAUUCAGUAACUGAGCUGAGAAAUUGAUGUUAUCCCAUUUUACAGGGAAAGAAACCAAGCUUCAGGGAUGUUAAUAAAUGCUAAGGACAUAUUAGUAGGAAGUGGGAGAGGCUGGAUUUGUAUUUAGAUGUGUCUGAUUCCAACUAAACUUUACUAUGCUGGUUUCCAACUGUCUUUAAAUUCAGAGUGUUCUUAAAAUUUCAGUACUGUACAUUCUAAAUUGAAAGCACUGUAUUUCAUUUCUAAGUAAGAUCAUCUUUUCCCUUUGCCAGAAAUAAUAUCUUUGAUUGCUCUAGCGCUUGGUUUGUAUGAAUUGCUUUCCUUGUUUUCUCAAUGCCAUGCAGGGAUUUAAAGUUCCUUGCUGUUAAAAACAGAGAUGAGUUACCUCAUUUUUGAAAUUCCUACACUGAGUUUCAAAAGCAAAAACAUGUCAUUAGGAGCUUAGGCUCAGAAUCUGAAUUUCAUCUUCUCUGCUUACUUACUGCAUAAUAGUGGCCACAUUCCUUAAUUAGGCUGUACCUCAAUAUCUCUAUCUGUAAAACAGAGGUAAUAUCAUCAAUAUAAAGAUUAAAAUAGUUAAUGUGUUAAUACAAUUAAAGUGCUUUUAAACAGAGCCUGACACACAAACAUCACCAAUAAAAUUUUUAUUUCUACCCAGGCAUGGCAAUCAUAAAGAGACAAUCAUUUUCAUUUUCUGGAACAUAGGAUAUUAGUUUCCUAAGGAUCCUUUCCUUCCAUGUCUUCCUGUUAACUAUCUGCUAGGGUUAUACCAGCUGCGCAUGGUGCUUUUUCACUCAAGAGGAAGACAUCUGCAAAUAGGCCUGUCUGUCUCUUUUAUUUUUAAAUUCAUACAUUUGUAAUGAAAAAAGCAAACUGAUCAUCAUUGGAGGAUCUUAGUGGACCAACUCAGUAUUUUGAAAAUUGGUCAGUACAGCAACAUACUAAAGGCCUAUCCUUCAUUUCCUGUGUGGACUGUCCUACUAGAUAAUCAAUAGUAGAAAAGGAAUUAUUUCUUUUCACAGAAGAGUGCAUGGAUCUAGGCAUUGGACAUCAAUACCCCUAAGAUCAAAGAGAGACAUAGAUAGAUAGACAGAUAGAUAGAUAUAUAGAUAGAUAGAUUAUGUGAUUCCAUUUAAUUGAACAUACCAUCAAUAAAGUAGUCUUAUUAAACACUAUAAUUUAUGGAGUUCCCAUUGUGGCUCAGCAAUAACGAACCUGAUUAGUAUCCGUGAGGACAUGGGUUCAGUCCCUAGCCUUGCUCAGUGGGUUAAGGAUCUGAUGCUGCUGUGAGCUGUGGUGUAGGUUGCAGACAUGGUUUAGUGUUGCUUAGGCUGUGGUGUAGGCAGGCAGCUUCAGCUCUGAAUUGACCACUAACGUGGGAACUUCCAUUUGACGUGGGUGCAACCC
rnacentral:lncRNA from 1 species